rfam:Ovis aries breed Texel chromosome 4, whole genome shotgun sequence.
UCCCUGGUGGUUCAGUGGCUAAGACUCUGCACUCCCAAUGCAGGGGACCAGGGUUGGAUCCCUGCUCAGAGAG